rnacentral:rRNA from 1 species
UACGGGGGGGGCAAGCGUUGUUCGGAAUUACUGGGCGUAAAGGGCUCGUAGGCGGCCAACUAAGUCGGAUGUGAAAUCCCCAGGCUUAACCUGGGAACUGCAUCCGAUACUGGAUGGCUUGAAUUCGGGAGAGGGAUGCAGAAUUCCAGGUGUAGCGGUGAAAUGCGUAGAUAUCUGGAGGAAUACCGGUGGCGAAGGCGGCAUCCUGGACCGAGAUUGACGCUGAUGAGCGAAAGCCAGGGGAGCAAACGGG